UACGUAGGGUGCGAGCGUUAAUCGGAAUUACUGGGCGUAAAGCGUGCGCAGGCGGUUGUGCAAGACCGAUGUGAAAUCCCCGGGCUUAACCUGGGAAUGGCAUUGGUGACUGCACGGCUAGAGUGUGUCAGAGGGGGGUAGAAUUCCACGUGUAGCAGUGAAAUGCGUAGAGAUGUGGAGGAAUACCGAUGACCGAAGGCAGCCCCCCUGGGAUAACACU
rnacentral:rRNA from 1 species